UCCGGUUUAACACCGGCAGUCUCGUUAGAGUGCCCGGCCGAACCGCUGGCAUACUAACGACAAGGGUUGCGCUCGUUGCGGGACUUAACCCAACAUCUCACGACACGAGCUGACGACAGCCAUGCAGCACCUGAACACCCAGUUCCCUUGCGGGCACAUCCACAUCUCUGCGGACUUCUGGGGGGUUCCAACCCAGGUAAGGUUUUGCGCGUUGCGUCGAAUUAAACCACAUGCUCCACCGCUUGUGCGGGCCCCCGUCAAUUUCUUUGAGUUUUAGCCUUGCGGCCGUACUCCCCAGGCGGGGAACUUAAUGCGUUAGCUGCGACACGGAGACCGUGGAAUGGCCCCCACAUCUAGUUCCCAACGUUUACGGCAUGGACUAC
rnacentral:misc_RNA from 1 species